GAUGAACGCUAGCUACAGGCUUAACACAUGCAAGUCGAGGGCAGCAUGGUCUUAGCUUGCUAAGGCCGAUGGCGACCGGCGCACGGGUGAGUAACGCGUAUCCAACCUGCCUUACACUCUUGGACAGCCUUCUGGAAAAGGGGAGAUUUAAUACAAGAUGUUAUCAUGAGUAAGCAUUUUCGCAUGAUUAAAGGUUUACCGGUGUAAGAUGGGGAUGCGUUCCAUUAGAUAGUAGGCGGGGUAACGGCCCACCUAGUCUUCGAUGGAUAGGGGUUCUGAGAGGAAGGUCCCCCCACAUUGGAACUGAGACACGGUCCAAACUCCUACGGGAGGCAGCAGUGAGGAAUAUUGGU
rnacentral:rRNA from 1 species